rnacentral:ncRNA from 2 species
UACGGAGGGUGCGAGCGUUAUCCGGAAUUACUGGGUUUAAAGGGUGCGUAGGCGGCCAAGUAAGUCAGGAGUGAAAGUUUGCGGCUCAACCGUAAAAUUGCUUUUGAUACUGCUAGGCUGGAAUUAGGAUGAGGUCAGCGGAAUGUGGCAUGUAGCGGUGAAAUGCAUAGAUAUGCCAUAGAACACCAAUUGCGAAGGCAGCUGGCUAGACCUGGAUUGACGCUGAGGCACGAAAGCGUGGGGAGCGAACAGG